AGUCGAGCGGACUUGAUGGAGUGCUUGCACUCCUGAUGGUUAGCGGCGGACGGGUGAGUAACACGUAGGCAACCUGCCCUCAAGACUGGGAUAACUACCGGAAACGGUAGCUAAUACCGGAUAAUUUAUUUUGCAGCAUUGUGGAAUAAUGAAAGGCGGAGCAAUCUGUCACUUGAGGAUGGGCCUGCGGCGCAUUAGCUAGUUGGUGGGGUAACGGCCCACCAAGGCGACGAUGCGUAGCCGACCUGAGAGGGUGAACGGCCACACUGGGACUGAGACACGGCCCAGACUCCUACGGGAGGCAGCAGUAGGGAAUCUUCCGCAAUGGGCGAAAGCCUGACGGAGCAACGCCGCGUGAGUGAUGAAGGUUUUCGGAUCGUAAAGCUCUGUUGCCAAGGAAGAACGUCUUCUAGAGUAACUGCUAGGAGAGUGACGGUACUUGAGAAGAAAGCCCCGGCUAACUACGUGCCAGCAGCCGCGGUAAUACGUAGGGGGCAAGCGUUGUCCGGAAUUAUUGGGCGUAAAGCGCGCGCAGGCGGUUCUUUAA
rnacentral:rRNA from 1 species